rnacentral:rRNA from 1 species
AUUGAACGCUGGCGGCAUGCCUUACACAUGCAAGUCGAACGGCAGCACGGGUGCUUGCACCUGGUGGCGAGUGGCGAACGGGUGAGUAAUAUAUCGGAACGUACCUUAUUGUGGGGGAUAACGCAGCGAAAGCUGUGCUAAUACCGCAUAAUCCCUAAGGGGGAAAGCGGGGGACCGUAAGGCCUCGCGCAAUUAGAGCGGCCGAUACCUGAUUAGCUAGUUGGUGAGGUAAAGGCUCACCAAGGCUACGAUCAGUAGCUGGUCUGAGAGGACGAUCAGCCACACUGGGACUGAGACACGGCCCAGACUCCUACGGGAGGCAGCAGUGGGGAAUUUUGGACAAUGGGGGCGACCCUGAUCCAGCAAUGCCGCGUGAGUGAAGAAGACCUUCGGGUUGUAAAGCUCUUUUGUCAGGGAAGAAACAGCAGCUCUAACACAGUUUGCGAAUGACGGUACCUGAAGAAUAAGCACCGGCUAACUACGUGCCAGCAGCCGCAGUAA